UACGUAGGGUGCAAGCGUUGUCCGGAAUUAUUGGGCGUAAAGAGCUCGUAGGCGGUCUGUCGCGUCUGCUGUGAAAACUCGGGGCUUAACCCCGGGCCUGCAGUGGGUACGGGCAGACUAGAGUGCGGUAGGGGAGACUGGAAUUCCUGGUGUAGCGGUGAAAUGCGCAGAUAUCAGGAGGAACACCGGUGGCGAAGGCGGGGUCUC
rnacentral:rRNA from 1 species